rnacentral:rRNA from 1 species
UCCAGACUCCUACGGGAGGCAGCAGUGGGGAAUAUUGCACAAUGGGGGGAACCCUGAUGCAGCAAUGCCGCGUGAAGGAUGAAGGUUUUCGGAUUGUAAACUUCUUUUGUACGGGACGAAGAAAGUGACGGUACCGUAAGAAUAAGCCGCGGCUAACUACGUGCCAGCAGCCGCGGUAAUACGUAGGUGGCAAGCGUUAUCCGGAUUUACUGGGUGUAAAGGGCGAGUAGGCGGGAUUGCAAGUCAGAUGUGAAAACUAUGGGCUCAACCGAUAGAGUGCAUUUGAAACUGCAGUUCUUGAGUGAUGGAGAGGCAGGCGGAAUUCCCGGUGUAGCGGUGGAAUGCGUAGAUAUCACGCAGAACUCCGAUUGCGAAGGCAGCAUACCGGCGCCCAACUGACGCUGAAGCACGAAAGCGUGGGUAUCGAACAGGAUUAGAUACCCGAGUA